CGACGGCCAUAGCCUCCUUGAAGUACCGCGUCCCGUCUGAUCCGCGAAGUCAACUAGGAGAGCGCUCGGUUAGUACCAGGGUGGGGGACCACCUGGGAAUCCCGGGUGCCGUCGUUUUUGCCUUUUCGUUGGUUGGUUGAGAAAGUCGCUGCCACUACGUC